rnacentral:tRNA from 1 species
CAGAAUGUAGCUAAGCAAGGAAAGCACCUCCCUUACACCGAGAAGUCAUCCGUGCAAACCGGGUCAUUCUGAC